rnacentral:tRNA from 1 species
GGGCGUGUGGUCUAGUGGUAUGAUUCUCGCUUUGGGCGAUUCUUAAGAUAAACUUAGGAAAUAAAUCACAAACAUGCGAGAGGCCCUGGGUUCAAUUCCCAGCUCGCCCC